rnacentral:rRNA from 1 species
CGUAAGAGGUAGUGGAGGUCCGAACACACAUCCGUUGAAAAGGGUGGUGAUGAGGUGUGGAUAGGGGAGAAAUUCCAAUCGAACCCGGAGAUAGCUGGUUCUCCUCGAAAUAGCUUUAGGGCUAGCCCCGUAACAGUCUUGCGGAGGUAGAGCACUGAAUUUCCUAGGGGGCGUCAAAGCCUACCGAAGAAUAUCAAACUGCGAAUGCCGUACAGAUGAUUUACGGGAGUCAGACUGCACGAGAUAAGUUGGGUGGUCAAAAGGGAAAGAGCCCAGACCCGCAGCUAAGGUCCCAAAGUGCGUGUUAAGUGGAAAAGGAUGUGGGAUUUCGAAGACAACCAGGAUGUUGGCUCAGAAGCAGCCACACAUUAAAAGAGUGCGUAAUAGCUCACUGGUCGAGAGGUCCUGCGCCGAAAAUGUCCGGGGCUGAAACACGACACCGAAGCUCGGGAAUCAGAAAUGAUUGGUAGAGGAGCAUUGAAGACGGAACGAAGCCAUACCGGAAGGAGUGGUGGACUGUCUUGAAGAGAGAAUGCCGGAAUGAGUAGCGAGAGAGAAGUGGGAAUCUUCUCGGCCGAAUAUCCAAGGUUUCCAGGGUAAAGCUGAUCUGCCCUGGGUAAGUCGGGGCCUAAGGCGAGGUCGGAAGACGUAGCCGAUGGACAACAGGUUGAAAUUCCUGUACUGUGAUAUAUCAGAACUGUGGGGACACAGCGGGAAGGCAUGGGCCGGAAAAGGAAAAUCCGGUGCAAGCACCAGAGGAGUAUGGCAGGCAAAUCCGCCAUGCAAUCCGAAAGUGUGAAGCGGAGCGAACAAAAGUAGCGAAGCAUGCUUACCGGCUGUCGAGAAAAGCCGCUAUUGCGUAUAUCACACCCGUACCGUAAACCGACACAGGUGGAUGAGGAGAGAAUCCUAAGGCCGGCGGGAGAAGCAUUGUUAAGGAACUCGGCAAAAUGACCCCGUAACUUCGGGAGAAGGGGUGCUCUUGAAAAAGAGCCGCAGAGAAUUGGCCCAAGCAACUGUUUAGCAAAAACACAGGUCUAUGCAAAACCGAAAGGUGAGGUAUAUGGGCUGACGCCUGCCCGGUGCUGGAAGGUUAAGAGGAGAGGUUAUCGCAAGAGAAGCCUUGAAUUUAAGCCCCAGUAAACGGCGGCCGUAACUAUAACGGUCCUAAGGUAGCGAAAUUCCUUGUCGGGUAAGUUCCGACCCGCACGAAAGGCGUAAUGAUUUGGGCACUGUCUCGACAAUGCAC